ACGGAUAGUUCAUGAAAGUCAGAGUUUAAUGUUAGCUCAGAAUGAACGCUAUCUAGAGGCAUUACACAUGCAAAUCGUCAGGGGUGGUUUACCAUUCCUACGGUGUACAGGUGAGUAUAAAUAGGAAUCUACCCAUUAACAUUCUAAGAGUUAGUGGAUGAGCCUAUCUUGGGGAAGGUAGUUGGUGGGACAAAAGCUUACCAAGCCAGAGAACCCUAGUCAAUGUUUGAAAGAACCUCUGACCACAUUGGCUCUGAAACAAUAGCCAAGAUUCUCUACCAGGGAGUCCAGCAGUGAGGAAUAUUGGUCAAUGAUCGCAAGAUUGAACCAGCCAUCUAGAAGAAUUUUUAUAUUCUAAACAAAGAGAGGAUGAUGACGUUAUCUUUGUUACAGUCUCGACCCAAUCUCGUGCCAGCAGUCGCGGUAAUACGAGUGAGGCAAGCGUUAUUCAUCAUUACUAGGUCUAAAGGGUGAGUAGGUGGUUAUGAACUUAUUAAUUAACUAGAGUCGAAUCGAAGAAUAAAGAAUUUUGGGAGUAGAGAUGAAAUCCGAUGAUACCCAAAGGACUGCUCAUGGCGAAAGCAUUAUUCUAAUUAUCGACUGACACUGAGGUACGAAAGCAUAAGGAGCGAAAAGGAUUAGAUACCCUUGUAGUUUAUGCUGUAAACGAUGAAUGCUAGAAAUUAGAAUACUCUAUUUUAGUUUCUGUGGUGAAGACUUUAAGCAUUCCACCUGAGAAGUACUGUCGCAAGGCUGAAACUCAAAACAUUAGACGGUCACAGAGAUCAGCAGUGAAGCAUGUUGUUUAAUUCGAUAACCCACGACAAAUCUUACCACUCCUUGUAUAAUAAAUAUUUUCCUUAAGGGAUUGUUUUGACUUUGAGGAACUUUAAUUAAAUAAUAACAUAUAUACUUAUGAUAAGUCUUUAAACUUACUUAUAUAUAUUUGUAAUACGUCAUCUAAACUUAUAUUAAUAAUAAUUCAAUAGUUAUUAUUGAAUCGAUGACAUAAUUGUUGUUAAUGUGAUGGAUAGUAAUAAUAAUUAAAUAUUGUUAUGGGUGUGAGUAACAUUAGUAAUAAUAACUAAUUAUUACCAUUAUAAACCACAGUAAUAAUAAUUGAUUAAAUAAUUAAAUGGAAUGAAUGAUUAAGCAAUUAGUAAUUCAUUAAUAUUUAUUACAGGUGUUGCAUGGCUGUCUUUAGUUCGUGUUGUGAAAUGUUAGGUUAAUUCCGAAAACGAACGCAAUCCUUAUCUUUAUUUAAAACUAUAUAAAGAGGUAUCUUUCCAUAAGAAGGAAUAAUUAGGGUGAAGACAAGUCCUCAUGACCCUUAUGGAGUGGGCUACAGACGUGCCACAAAUAUUUCUACAAAGGGAAGCAAAGAUGAAAGUCUGAGCUAAUCCUCAAAAGAAAUAAAAGUACGGAUAAGAAUCUGGAACUCGAUUCUUUGAAGAAGGAAUUGCUAGUAAUCGUUCAUCAUCAAGGAACGGUGAAACGAACAUCUGUGAUGUACUAACUACUCGUCAAGCGCGAAAAUCAUUAAGAAGUAUCAAGUUGAUUGAAUUUAAUUUCUAAAGAGUUAAAGAAUUUAACAUCUGUAGAAUCAAAGGAUUUCAGCGUCUAUUUCCUAGAAAUUUGUGCUAAGUCGAAAUAAGGUAGCUGUAGGGGAACCUGUAGCUGAAAGAUUAAAUAACCCAUAACCCCACCUCAUUUCU
rnacentral:rRNA from 1 species